rnacentral:rRNA from 1 species
AACGUAGGACGCGAGCGUUAUCCGGAUUUACUGGGCGUAAAGCGCGUGCAGGCGGCCGGGUAAGUCGGACGUGAAAGCUCCUGGCUCAACUGGGAGAGGUCGUUCGAAACUACCUGGCUCGAGGACAGGCGAGGAGCGUGGAAUUCCGGGUGUAGUGGUGAAAUGCGUAGAGAUCCGGAGGAACACCAGUGGCGAAAGCGGCGCUCUGGACUGUACCUGACGCUCAGACGCGAAAGCCAGGGGAGCGAACGGG